GACGGAGGAUGCAAGCGUUAUCCGGAAUGAUUGGGCGUAAAGCGUCCGCAGGUGGCAGUUCAAGUCUGCUGUCAAAGACCGGGGCUUAACUUCGGAAAGGCAGUGGAAACUGAACAGCUAGAGUAUGGUAGGGGCAGAGGGAAUUCCUGGUGUAGCGGUGAAAUGCGUAGAGAUCAGGAAGAACAUCGGUGGCGAAGGCGCUCUGCUGGACCAUAACUGACACUCAGGGACGCAAGCUAGGGGAGCGAAUGGG
rnacentral:rRNA from 1 species